GGGCCGUUAGUAAAGUGGCAUUACGCGGCAUUCGCAUUGCCGAGUCGCGAGUUCGAUUCUCGCACGGUCCA
rfam:Parcubacteria (Giovannonibacteria) bacterium GW2011_GWA1_44_25 TW53_C0005, whole genome shotgun sequence.